CCUACGGGGGGCAGCAGUUGGGAAUAUUGGACAAUGGAGGAAACUCUGAUCCUGUGACGCCGCGUGAAGGAAGAAGGUCUUCGGAUUGUAAACUUAUUUUAUCAGGGAAGAAGAAAGUGACAGUACCUGAAGAAAAAGGACCGGCAAACUACGUGCCAGCAGCCGCGGUAAUACGUAGGGUGCAAGCGUUAUCCGGAUUUACUGGGUGUAAAGGGCGAGUAGACGGCGCUGUAAGUCAGCUGUGAAAACUUAGGGCUCAACCUUAAGCCUGCAGCUGAAACUGUGGUGCUAGAGUGCAGGAGAGGUAAGCGGAAUUCCUAGUGUAGCGGUGAAAUGCGUAGAUAUUAGGAGGAACACCAGUGGCGAAGGCGGCUUACUGGACUGUAACUGACGUUGAGGCUCGAAAGUGUGGGGAGCAAACAGGAUUAGAUACCCCUGUAGUC
rnacentral:rRNA from 1 species